rnacentral:rRNA from 1 species
UCUCAGUUCAGAUUGCAGGCUGCAACUCGCCUGCAUGAAGUCGGAAUUGCUAGUAAUCGCAGAUCAGCAUGCUGCGGUGAAUACGUUCCCGGGCCUUGCACACACCGCCCGUCACACCAUGGGAGUCGGUAACACCCGAAGUCGGUAGCCUAACCGUAAGGAGGGCGCCGCCGAAGGUGGGAUUGAUGACUGGGGUGAAGUCGUAACAAGGUAGC